GAACAACCAUUCGCUUCAUUCUGCUUCUCAUUCAUCAUCUACCUACAGAACAAUUGUCUGCAAUAGCCAUGGACCCUCAGGACUGUAACUGUGCAUCAGGGGCUUCCUGUUCCUGCGGAGGGUCCUGCACAUGUCGCAACUGCAAGUGUACAUCCUGCAAAAAAAGCUGCUGCUCCUGCUGUCCGGCUGAGUGCAGUAAAUGCCGCCCGGACUGUGAGUGCACAAAGGGGACCUGCAGCUGCUGCCAGUGACCACUGCACAAUGACGACUACAGGACGGACCGAUCAUCUCUUAUCAUCCAUCCUAUGUACAAUGACUACAGGACGGACUGAUCAUCUCUUAUCAUCUAUCCUAUGUACAAUGACUACAGGACGGACCGAUCAUCUCUUA